rnacentral:rRNA from 1 species
AGUGGCGGACGGGUGAGUAUCGCGUAGGGAUGUGUCGUUUGGGUGGGGGAUAGCCUUGGGAAACCGGGGGUAAUACCGCAUGACGCCUGUGGGCCAAAGGUCGCGAGACCGCCUGACGAGCAGCCUGCGUCCGAUUAGCUAGUUGGUUGGGUAAUGGCUGACCAAGGCUGUGAUCGGUAGCUGGUCUGAGAGGAUGAUCAGCCACACUGGGACUGAGACACGGCCCAGACUCCUACGGGAGGCAGCAGUGGGGAAUAUUGGACAAUGGGCGCAAGCCUGAUCCAGCAAUGCCGCGUGGAUGAAGAAGGUCUUCGGAUUGUAAAGUCCUUUCGGCGGGGACGAUGAUGACGGUACCCGCAGAAGAAGCCCCGGCUAACUUCGUGCCAGCAGCCGCGGUAAUACGAAGGGGGCUAGCGUUGCUCGGAAUGACUGGGCGUAAAGGGCGCGUAGGCGGACUGCUUAGUCAGGCGUGAAAGUCCUGGGCUCAACCUGGGGAUUGCGCUUGAUACGGGUGGUCUAGAGUUGGAAAGAGGGUCGUGGAAUUCCCAGUGUAGAGGUGAAAUUCGUAGAUAUUGGGACGAACCCCGGUGGCGAAGGCGGCGACCUGGUUCUUGACUGACGCUGAGGCGCGAAGGCGUGGGGAGCAAAC